GCCACCAUAGCUCAGCCGGUAGAGCAGCGCUUUCGUAAAGCGCAGGUCCUCGGUUCGAAUCCGAGUGGUGGCUCCA
rnacentral:tRNA from 1 species